UCUAUCUAACAUUUUAAGUGAAAAUGAGUUUUGUAUGCCACUGGAUUUAAAGUUCAAUUUUGCAUGUACUGGCAAAACUCCUAAGUAAUUGGAUUAAAAAUAACGUGUUAAAAUGAUUAUUGUAAUACCUCCUAAAUUAUCACGAAAAUUUAGACGCAAAUAAUUGCUGCUAACUAAUUCUAACUUACUCUUAGAAAUAUCUCCUAAGUUAAUUAUGUAUAGUUUUUUGUGCGAAUACCUCCUAACUUUAUUGAAACAUUUUCUAACUUGAUGAAAGCACUAUUUUGAAUAAGACUGGAGUGAAUGAGGCGGCCUACGCGUGAAAGAGACAGGACAUGUGUUUCGUUUGGUGCGCACUGCGCGUUGCGUCGCGUCGUUCAGUCGUUCUGUAGCUCAGUUACCGGCAAGUAGUUUGACAUACGACAAUUUUGUGACCUUUACGAUUUAAAAAUAAAUUUUGUGUUUGGUUAAUUAACAUUUUAAAGUAAUAUUCAGCUGCAGCUGUUUGGAUAAGCUAGAUUCUUAGCAAAACUGAAUAAUGUCAGGAUGGGCAAAACGUAUUCAAAGAUUAAGAGCAGAUCAGAUGUUCAACAUGCUGAAUGUAGAUGUUACUGGUACAAAACGUAAAGCUCCCGACAGUGAUGACGAAAAGGAAAAUAGGGAAAAUGAAAAUCGUCACCUUGAAGAAGAGGAUGAUGAAUUUCAAAGCUCAUUGAUU